ACUUGUAUAUCUAAUAUAACAAUACAUAGUGAUAAAAACAAAUACAAAUAAACAUACAACUUAAUACGACAGUAAUAUUUUAAAGUCAUUUAUUAUAAAAUCUUCGACGCCAGACGUUCUCAAGACUUUGCCUGUCGUUCGGUUAAAAUAUAUUUUGCAAAAAAAAAAUGCUUACUAAAGAGUCUACUUUUAGAUUCAAUUCUACUACGUUCGAAGAACAGAUGGAAGGAGGAUUCAAUAUGAUUCUUACUGAAGGAGCGGAGUUUAUGAGCUUCAUUUUCUUAUAAUUUGUUAGUGAAGAUGGUAAUGGUUGCAAGACGAUAUCUUAACUAUUUGUCCUUGGAGUUGGUGAGCGGAUAGUUUACCAUGAAUUUCCAUCCCAAUUUUCCAAUUUCUGAGUUAGACCGGCCCCGAUUCAGGAGACAUUUGUAGACUAAGAGUCCAGGAGAUUUAACAUUCCAAUUUUCCUCUAUAUAUCUUAAAAUCAAUCACAUGUCAAGAGCCUCCAUAGCAAUAUAGAAGGGAAUGUAUUAAACCAUGUUUCUUUUGCUUUAUCUUAAUAUAAAGCCAGGAUCCUGUUAUAAAGAAGAAAAAGAUUUGUAAUAGAACAAAAAUAUAUUUUUCACAUUUUUAUAUAUUAAUGAAGAACGUUUUGCAUAUUAUAA
rnacentral:lncRNA from 1 species